CCGGGCGCUCGCUGGCACCGUGGCCGCAGCGGCCGGCCUGGGAGCCAGGAGGGCGAGGCGGCUGCACCUUCGGGGCCAGAUUGGAGUUCGAAGAGUGGCGGGUACCCCAGAAGCUCGGGGCCGGGGCGAUGGCUGCAGCCUCGGGAGGGUAUCGCCGGAUCGAACUCCGGGAAAGGGAAGCAAAGGCAUGGAACCUCCGCACACUGGAUGAGAAUCCAUCUUCCAUUCGAGCUGGGAAUAGACUUUGUGAAAGAUAUUAUGUAAUGGAGUCUCGGGAACCCUGAGACCUCUCCAGCGAAGCUGAAGUGAAUUAAUUAAGUGCUUUAAACGGUCUUGGUGCUGUGUUACGGGAGAGAGUGACUGGAAAGUAACAAAGCUGAAUCUUUCUCCCUGGAGUAAGGCCGAAGACUGGAUUACUACACGCCUAGACGUGACACUACACCCAUAGAUCUCAUGCAUCAUUAAUGCCAUAUGACAUUGCCAUUUUCUUUCUCAGUUCACGGACAAAAGUGGUGGGUUUUCAUUGUCUUCACUGAUUGUCAA
rnacentral:lncRNA from 1 species